rnacentral:rRNA from 1 species
AGAGUUUGAUCCUGGCUCAGGACGAACGCUGGCGGCGCGCCUAACACAUGCAAGUCGAACGGAAAUGAUUGAAGUUUACUUUGGUCAUUUUAGUGGCGGACGGGUGAGUAACACGUGAGCAACCUGCCUUUCAGAGGGGGAUAACGUUUGGAAACGAACGCUAAUACCGCAUAACGUAUACGGAUGGCAUCGUCUGUAUACCAAAGGAGGAAUCCGCUGAAAGAUGGGCUCGCGUCCGAUUAGCUAGAUGGUGAGGUAACGGCCCACCAUGGCGACGAUCGGUAGCCGGACUGAGAGGUUGACCGGCCACAUUGGGACUGAGACACGGCCCAGACUCCUACGGGAGGCAGCAGUGAGGGAUAUUGGGCAAUGGGGGCAACCCUGACCCAGCGACGCCGCGUGAGGGAAGACGGUCUUCGGAUUGUAAACCUCUGUCUUUGGGGACGAAGAAGGACGGUACCCAAGGAGGAAGCUCCGGCUAACUACGUGCCAGCAGCCGCGGUAAUACGUAGGGAGCGAGCGUUGUCCGGAAUUACUGGGUGUAAAGGGAGCGUAGGCGGGAAGGCAAGUUGGAUGUGAAAACUGUGGGCUCAACCUACAGACUGCAUUCAAA